rnacentral:rRNA from 1 species
UACGUAGGGUGCAAGCGUUAAUCGGAAUUACUGGGCGUAAAGCGUGCGCAGGCGGCUAUGCAAGACAGAUGUGAAAUCCCCGGGCUCAACCUGGGAACUGCAUUUGUGACUGCAUAGCUAGAGUACGGUAGAGGGGGAUGGAAUUCCGCGUGUAGCAGUGAAAUGCGUAGAUAUGCGGAGGAACACCGAUGGCGAAGGCAAUCCCCUGGACCUGUACUGACGCUCAUGCACGAAAGCGUGGGGAGCAAACAGG